UGUUCAUCGUUUUUCCAGGAUACGAAUUAUCAACUUUAUUCUCUAUCAUACAUUCAUCAACACUGGGGAGGAUCUUGAAGAACUGAUGAUGAAAGGCGUUUUUGAAACCGUAUUCUGCCUCCAUGAAAGAAAGAAGCAGAAACAGCUGAGGAAGAACUGGGCUCGAUGGUCGGGUCUGUUUACUGGACAACCAGUUAAUGAUGUCAAGUCAGUACCUUUAUCACCGUAGCUCUGAUCACCUUUAAGAUCUUCAUGCCGUUCUUCCA